AUUGAACGCUGGCGGCAGGCCUAACACAUGCAAGUCGAACGAGUGGCGGACGGGUGAGUAAUGUCUGGGAAACUGCCUGAUGGAGGGGGAUAACUACUGGAAACGGUAGCUAAUACCGCAUACCAUCGGAUGUGCCCAGAUGGGAUUAGCUAGUAGGUGAGGUAACGGCUCACCUAGGCGACGAUCCCUAGCUGGUCUGAGAGGAUGACCAGCCACACUGGAACUGAGACACGGUCCAGACGCCGACGGGAGGAAGCAGUGGGGAAUAUGUCACAAGGGGCGAAAUCUUGAUGCAGCCAUGCCGUGUGGAUGAAGAAGGCCUUCGGGUUGUAAAGUACUUUCAGCGGGGAGGCGUUACCCGCAGAAGAAGCACCGGCUAACUCCGUGCCAGCAGCCGCGGUAAGAC
rnacentral:rRNA from 1 species